GACUACCGGGGUAUCUAAGCCUGUUUGCUCCCCACGCUUUCGCGCCUCACCGUCAGUUGUCGUCCAGUAACCCGCCUUCGCCACUGAUGUUCUUCCUAAUAUCUACGCAUUUCACCGCUACACUAGGAAUUCCGCUUACCUCUCCGAUACUCAAGACCAACAGUUUCAAAUGCACUCCAGAGGUUGAGCCCCUGGUUUUCACAUCUGACUUGUCAGCCCGGCUGCACGCCCUUUACACCCAGUAAAUCCGGACAACGCUUGCCACCUACGUAUUACCGCGGCUGCUGGCACGUAGUUAGCCGUGGCUUGUUUUCAGGGUACCGUCUUCUACUCUUCCCCUGUCAAAGAAGUUUACAACCCGAAAGCCUUCUUCCUUCACGCGGCGUUGCUGGGUCAGGCUUUCGCCCAUUGCCCAAUAUUCCCCACUGCAGCCGCCCGUAGG
rnacentral:rRNA from 1 species